rnacentral:rRNA from 1 species
UUGAAACUCAAAGGAAUUGACGGGGGCCCGCACAAGCAGUGGAGUAUGUGGUUUAAUUCGAAGCAACGCGAAGAACCUUACCAGGUCUUGACAUCCCGAUGACCGCCCUGGAGACAGGGUUUCCCUUCGGGGCAUUGGAGACAGGUGGUGCAUGGUUGUCGUCAGCUCGUGUCGUGAGAUGUUGGGUUAAGUCCCGCAACGAGCGCAACCCUUACGGUUAGUUGAUACAUUAGGUUGAUCACUCUAGCCGGACUGCCGUUGACAAAACGGAGGAAGGUGGGGACGACGUCAAAUCAUCAUGCCCCUUAUGACCUGGGCUACACACGUACUACAAUGGCAGUCAUACAGAGGGAAGCAAAGCAGCGAUGCGGAGCAAACCCCUAAAAGCUGUCUCAGUUCAGAUUGCAGGCUGCAACCCGCCUGCAUGAAGUCGGAAUUGCUAGUAAUCGCGGAUCAGCAUGCCGCGGUGAAUACGUUCCCGG